ACUUCAGUAUCUGCACUUCCGCCGGCGUCCAUCGUGAAGAGGGGAAGUUCCUGUCGCGUGUGUGUGGUUCUUGUCCGGCUAGUGCCAUCCAUCGAAAUCUUCAGGCAUCUUGCAUGCUCUCGGUCUGUCUGCUUCCCUGCCCAGUGCAGGGCGCUCAGGCGGUGCAGCCCUCCUGGAGACCGAUGGAAGCACCUUGGAUCGACAGAUUACACCUUCUGCAGCAGCUGGGGGCCCCUAUUCUCUUCAGCUCCAUGGUGGGCGUCCCCUGCCCAGGGAGAGGAUGCCUGGGUAAAUGCUGCUGCUCUGGAGCAACGUGAAGCACAGAUGCCUCUCAAUUGCCUUCAGAAGUAACAGCUUGGCUGCACAGCGUCCGGAAGAGGGGUCUCCGUCCUGCCAGGCUGAUGGGCCGUGGUGCUCCUGAGUGAGGAUUGGCCCCUGGCAUCUGGAGCUCCGUCCCACAAGGAUAUUUGCGGUUUCCCCAGUUGCAUUUGGCAGUGUGUGAAGGCCCGUGCCCAGUGCCGCCAGAGUGCCGUGGCCCCGGUGUGCUCUUGAGCAGCCCACACAGCAGAGCCUCGUCAGGCUUGUCUCCAAAGAGCUCCAGUCUCUCCCCCAGAUUGUCAGCUGAUCCCUGCUGUGUCUGUCAGUGGUUCCAGAAGCAGCUGGAACAGGAUCCUUGCCAGGUGUGGACACCAGAGGGCCAGGGAGUAGACAGCAAGACUACCACUUGAAGUGAAACUAGAGACUGCCCAUUUGGAGCAUCAUGAAACAUCUUUUUGUUAUGUUUAGUAAUUGGCUCAGGCAUGGGAGACUCCAGCAUACAAGGUCUUAACAGCAGCACCUCAGAGGACUGUGUCCUGUCCCCAUGUCCAUCUGCCAGUGCCUGGAAGGACUGUGACGAGAGCUUUUACGUUAAACUUGUUGCCAACUUUGCUGCUACCUCCCCAACUGUGCAAUAAAUAAAAACCUGAUAGAUGAAUUCA